GACGAACGCUGGCGGCGUGCUUAACACAUGCAAGUCGAACGGAAAGGCCUCUUUCGGGGGGUACUCGAGUGGCGAACGGGUGAGUAACACGUGAGUAACCUGCCCUUGACUUUGGGAUAACUUCAGGAAACUGGGGCUAAUACUGGAUAGGAGCUCCUGCUGCAUGGUGGGGGUUGGAAAGUUUCGGCGGUUGGGGAUGGACUCGCGGCUUAUCAGCUUGUUGGUGGGGUAGUGGCUUACCAAGGCUUUGACGGGUAGCCGGCCUGAGAGGGUGACCGGCCACAUUGGGACUGAGAUACGGCCCAGACUCCUACGGGAGGCAGCAGUGGGGAAUAUUGCACAAUGGGUGGAAGCCUGAUGCAGCAACGCCGUGUGCGGGAUGACGGCCUUCGGGUUGUAAACCGCUUUCGCUCAUGACGAAGCUUUGUGUGACGGUAGUGGGGAAAGAAGCACCGGCUAACUACGG
rnacentral:rRNA from 1 species